rnacentral:rRNA from 1 species
UACGGGGGGAGCAAGCGUUGUUCGGAUUUACUGGGCGUAAAGGGCGCGUAGGCGGCCACCGCAAGUCAGUUGUGAAAUCUCUGGGCUUAACCCAGAACGGUCAGCUGAUACUGCGGGGCUAGAGUGCAGAAGGGGCAACUGGAAUUCUCGGUGUAGCGGUGAAAUGCGUAGAGAUUGGGAAGAACAUCCGUGGCGAAAGCGCUCUGCUGGACUGCAACUGACAUUGAGGGACGAAAGCUAGGGGAGCGAAUGGG